AAGACUGAAGCUUUUGCUCAGACUUGGGUUCAAAACCCCAGAGUCAGUGAGAACCUCCUCCCAUUUCAAGAUGAAUUCAAGGACUACAGCCCUUCCCAAGAUUCCAGCCAGUUGAGACUGUGGACCGCUAUGAAAAUGUUCCCUGUGGGCAUUUCUCAUCUCCAUUCUCUUUUUAAAGACGUUUCCAGGAAGGACUGUGAUAUAAUUCCGUGGAAUAGCGCCAAACAGGGUGGCUGGCAGGUAAAUAGAGAAGAGGUCUUUUGGAGCUCCUGCAAUGAAGCCUUGCGCGAGAAGGCCCAUGUGGGGAAAAUGAAUGACUUCAGCCAAAGCAAGAAGCACAGUAUUAUUCUGGUAAAACAGAGUCUGCCGUAGGGCACGUCUUUGCCUCCCCCCUCUUCUGCUGGACCCAGUGCAGGGAGCAUGUGGUGCUCGGGAAAGGCCUUUCUGGAAGGGCAAACCACAAGAAUGCAGUCCUGCGUGUUGCCUCCUGAGCCAAUCAGGGCAGCGAUGACUGGCCCACAUGAACGUGCAGAUUGGUUCUGCUGUUUAACAACUCAUUCUGGGAAUAGAUACUCCUGUCAUUGCCAGGCUAGUGGUGGGAGUGAGGUUGGGGACUGAUUUGAAGUUUGGGAUUUCAAGUUCAUACGUGGCCAACCCAGGUUGGACAGUGUGUCCAGCUUUGCCCUGUUGGUACCUUGUUCCUGCCCUGUAUAUACAAUUCCU